rnacentral:rRNA from 1 species
AACGCACCUUGCGCUCCUUGGUAUUCCGAGGAGCAUGCCUGUUUGAGUGUCAUUAAAUUCUCAACCUUUGUUAACUUUUUGGUUAGCAAAUGGCUUGGAUGUGGGGGUAUGCAGGUUUCUCUAUUGAAAUUAGCUCCCCUGAAAUACAUUAGCUGGUUGCCUUGUGUAAACUUGUCUAUUGGUGUGAUAAUUAUCUACGCUGUGGUAGUGAGGUUCCAUUAAGUUCAUGCUUCUAAUCGUCCUUCAUUGGACAACAAUUUUUGUACAUCUGACCUCAAAUCAGGUAGGACUACCCGCUGAACUUAA